CUCUGUUUCACUUCUCGGUGGAUGUUUUGUAUCCGUUCUCAACUUUAGUUCAUCUUUUGUGACAGUGGGCAAUAAUAACCAAUAAGCAUGUGAGAGCU